AUUACAAAGCGGAUCGAUGAAAGCCCAGACUGAUCGAUCGUUGUCAUACUUUCAAUUUACUUUUUUAAACAAACUAGCCCUUUCGUUAAUUCAUGAUUUGACGUAUAGGCCAACCAAAUGGCACGCAACACAUCCACCUUUUUUAUUUCUUUGUAAAUGAUACCAUACCCUGUCAUUUUAGGGUCAAAUUCGAUGUACUUUACAUCACGCUCAUCAGUUCAGUAUUUGUACAGAGGGUUGCUACAGUAACGUUUGCAAGACAACACGCGGUCACUGUGAGCGGUAGUAACUUCACCGUCAUUGGUUCCAUCAUAAAGAUCCGCAUGUUUAUUAAUUUCACUGGGUAUGACACAAAGAUAGCUAAUUUAGCAGGUGUGGUGAUACUGAUGAUUUUGGGCACAGAUGGUUUGUUUACAUAGCAGUCAGGAUAAUUAACGUCGCAUGUUAGGAUAAUUAACGUGGCAGGUUACGAGAACUAACGCAGCAGGAUAUGUGAAUUAAUGUAGCAGGUUAUGAGAAUGAGGUUAAGGUUAUGAAAAUAGUUAGGAUUAGUUAAUGCUUCGGUUGUCAACAGCUGUUUUCCCCGACGCGACCACUGGAUAGAGAUGUAGGCCUACCCCAUCUAACCACAACAGAGGAAACGUAAACAAACCAUAUGUGGCGACAAAUCAGAGGAAAAGGCUAAACGAGAGGGUUUACUCAGCCCAAAAAAUGUAAGCGAAAAUAAAACCGUGAGAGUGUCGAAUUUGUUCAACGAAAAUGUAAUGUCUUAUUUUUUACCUGAGGUUUAUUUCAUCGAAUAGAAGUUUCGUAAUGCUUAAAUUGUUACGCGUAUGCUGAUAUAAAUUGGACACGUGACAUCCCAGCAACUUUGAGAAAAAAACACUUUAUAUUGGAGUUGUCUCGAGAUGGUUUAACGUCGUAUUAAUGUAAUGUGGCUGUAGCAUUAAAUCUCUCGUCAUUGAAUAUGGGCGGUUGAAGUUAACCACCCUCAUCAAAUAUAUAAAAAACAAAACAAUAAAUAGAUGUAUCCACCAAUCCAAAGAAUAGGCGGGAACUAGACAGCCAGCGGUGCCACUUUGUGAACAACGACUCCCAUUGUUAGGGCGGAGAGACAUGUAGUCUUGUCAGUUUUCCAUAAUCUUUGGUUUGAUGAAAACAUCUCUGGUGGGAAAAUGCAUAUUGUUUUAGGCAGAUGAGGUUAUUCGCAUGAAAAUCUGCCCCAAAUUGGUUGGAAACCUAGCUAUAGACGUGAAACUAGUUAGGGAAUUAAGAAAAUGUAAUGGUAGCAAAGUUAUUCAUAUGAAGAUAAUGAAAGGGUGAUUUCUGUUAGGCUAGUUGAAGAAGUCAGUAAUCUGAUUGACAGCCAGUAGUACGAGCUAGUGAGUAACGUUAGUGUUCUCGGGUUGUUAGCUAGGCAACUGUUGUGGCAAUGACUUCUAGAGGUAGAGGAACCCAAAAACCAAACAUAUCUGGUACAAAAGGAACUCCACGCAUUGCUAUAUCCAGUUAUAAAAUCGGAUACACCUGGAACCAAGGUGGAAGACAAGGCCCCGAGAAUAAGGUGAGAAGUACCCCCUUCAAAUAAAUCGCAUUUUCUAUCUGGAAUCCCGGGGCGUCCCUACCCCAUUUGAAGUUGACAUUUUAAAAUGGUUAGGGUAGGUGUAGCUCUCAAACUCUAGGCGAUGUUCUGCCUUCGAUCUACAGUUUCCGGCUGACGUUAAUUAGCUUCGCCUACCUCACCUGAACUUGCUACAAUCCCGACUCGUUGUUUUAGAAACGUCAAUAAUCAUCGCUUGCGAUACGGCUUUCGAAACAUAUGACCCUUAUCUUUCAUCAGCGAGAAAGAAUCCUUCAAAUAAAAAAAUAUAAGAGUCCAAUUACUCUUAUGUGUUAUGUAACGGAACUGAGAGUCACGAUCAAGGGCUAGGACGUCCCAACGAUUCGAAAUGGCACUAAACACAAAUACUUGACCUAUCCACAUGGGGGUACUUGAGACUACUAAUGAGACCAUAAACAUACGGGUAAAAUGUAUACGAGGAAGUAUUUCAGGGGUACCCGUACCCCCUCACCAGAGCAAACUUCAGUUGGUGGUACAGUAACCGAAAAACGUUGGGAACCACUGAUUUAAGGUACUGUAUGUUUAGUGACUGGAGUUGGCCAUCCCUGAAAUCGGUCUUUCUUCCAGGCAACUUGCAUGGAGUUCCUCAGACUAUGGAUACAGAAGACUUUUGGAUGGGUUCAUCCUUACAAUGCCAGGUGCACUUUCUCAGGAAUAGCCUAUAGAUUACAGACAGAUUACAUCACUGCUUGAAUUUAUAAUGCAUUGCAAUGUCCAUUCCAAAUGGUGGGGAAAUAACAUUGGUAAAGCUCUUGAUACUAUGCUGUUAAUAUAUCCACUGUGUGUAGCCUGAGUUCACUAACUGGAAGAAUGUUACCUUGUCCAAUCUGUAGGUCUCACAUCACAGAGUGGGGCUGGAAGGAUGAGUGGUGGACAGCUAGGAGGGAGUUGAGGCUCACAGUGAGGGCAGAGUGCAUUACAACUGAUAGAUGCUAUUUUUGUUCAUUUUAUAUGAAAUUACUUUGAAUUAGGAACAAUACACUGCCUCUGGGAGGUUAGUGAGCUUCCUACAUACAGUCAUUGCGUGAGUGAUUAUUUUAUGUGUAUUAUAUAUGUAUUCUGUCAUAGGCACUACGUUCAUGCCUGUAUAAGCUUUGUUCACCUCCGCCAAGCUAAGAGGAAACCACAAGGUGCCAUCUUCUGUUAAUCAUUUGUACUACUGUACCUCUUAUCACAAUCACUGGAUGGCAUUCAUGGUCCAGGAUAAUAUACUCCCAGUUUAGGAUAUCAGAAACGUAUAUUGACAAUUGUAGCCAAACUUGGGUUGUCUCCAACACAUACUACAGACCUGCCUGUUGUCCGCUAGAACUUGCGUUCACAUUACCAUUUCUUUCUGUUGUUGUUAACCCUCAUGUAUUCAAAUCAAAUUUUAUUUGUCACAUACACAUGGUUAGCAGAUGUUAAUGCGAGUGUAGCGAAAUGCUUGUGUUUCAGACACUGACAGAUGUGAAGUCACAUACUAUUGCAAGAACAACAUUUGCAAUACUCACCUUAUGGUUAACUUCAUGUGCCCUCAUCUACCUCAACAUCAUACUUCGGGAACAUAUUGCAAGAAGAUUAAGUGAAUUUCCUGAGUUUAUGUGCAGAUGUGGACUUGUGCAUUCAGGAGUCAGAGAGAUCAGUCAGCAGCAAGUCAACACCGCCAUCUAUUGCACGCUGGUCUGAGAAGUCUGGCCCUUAAUAUCGCUCAGAUACUCAUCGACUCAACAAGAACAUCGCUGUCCAGCAUCAUCAUCACACUGUAAGAGGCAGGCAUUGGAUAAUCUGGCAGCAACGUCUGGAGGAGGCUGAAGAUUGGGUACUUCAGAUGCAGAUGACACACAUCCACUACAGGAGGGUUCUGCGUGUGUGGAAGGAGACUGCGGCAGCCAGGAGCAGUGAGAAGAGGGCAGGGAACCACUACCGGCACUGUUCAGGCUAAGGUGCUGUUGGCAUGGAGGAAAGCCACAUCCUGUGUCAAACCGUCACCGGCAGUGAGCAGGGCUCCGAGUCGCAUGGAUAAAGUGAGGCAGCGGUGGACUUUCAGGAGAUGGUGGGAACAGAGCGGUUGUGGAGGAGAGUACAGGUGUGGAGAAAACCAAAAGGCACCACCACUCUUCUUUGCAGUAUGUUCAGAUUGGGGACUAUGUACCGGCAGCAUCAGCAGAGCAAUAAGGUGAUGCAAGAAACAGGACACUCAAUGUUGAGACUGGCCGCCCCCAGUUGGUAAGGGGAGGUAACAACACAGCCGCCAUGCUUAUCCUCAACACGGGGGCCCCUCCUGUACCCCCUGUUCACUCAUGACUGCACGGCCAGGCACAACUCCAACACCAUCAAGUUUGCCGAUGACACAACAGUGGUAGGCCUGAUCACUGACAAGGAUGAGAAAGCCUAUAGGGAGGUCAGAGACCUGACCGUGUGGUGCAAGGACAACAACUUCUCCCUCAAUGUGAUCAAGACAGAGGAGAUGAUUGUGGACAACAGGAAAAGGAGGACCAAGCAUGCCCCCAUUCUCAUCGACAGGGCUGUAGUGGUGCAGGUUGAGAGCUUCAAGUUCCUUGGCGUCCACAUCAACAACAAACUAACAUGGUCCAAGCACACCAAGACAGUCGUGAAGAGGGCACGACAAAACCUAUUCCCCCUCAGGAGACUGAAAAGAUUUGGCAUGGGUCUUCAGAUCCUCAAAAGGUUCUACAGCUGCACCAUCGAGAGCAUCCUGACGGGUUGCAUCACUGCCUGGUAUGGCAACUGCUCGGCCUCCGACCACAAGGCACAACAGAGGGUAGUGCGUACGGCCCAGUACAUCACCGGGCCAAGAUUCCUGCCACCAAGGACCUCUAUACCUGGCGGUGUCAGAGGAAGGCCGUAAAAAUUGUCAGACUCCAGCCACCCUAGUCAUGGACUGUUCUCUCUCAUAAGACUCCUAAUCAAAUGGCUACCUAUACUAUUUGCACCCCCCCCCCCCCCCCGCGCUGCUGCUACUGUCUGUUAUUUCUAUGCAUAGCCACUUUAACAACCCUACCUGCAUGUACAUAAUUGUUAAUUACCUCGACACCAGUUCCCCGCACAUUGCCUCUGUAUCGGUACCCCCUGUAUAUAGCCCCGCUAUUGUUAUUCACUGCUGCUCUUAAUUAUUUGUUUUUCUUAUCUCUUACUACUUAAUUUUUAUUUUUUAGGUAUUCUCUUAACCGCAUCGUUGGUUAAGGGCUUGUAAGUAAGCAUUUCACUGUAACCUGUUGUAUUUGGCGCAUGUGACAAAUACAAUUUGAUUUGAAACAAUACAUGCCAGCUCUUUUUCUUUUUUUGCACGCUGGAAUAUUGUGGUGAGGUUAUUGCUGUUUUACCAUGGUUAUUUCAAAUAUUAAAGGUCAACUUACCAAGACUUGUGUGAGAAAUUGUGUUCAGGUUACUUUAAAAUACAAUUAUUUAAUUGAAAAAUAGUGUUUUUGGAUGUUUCUUGGCUUUAAUGAUCUCCUCUUUCUAUGAUCCAUCUGUGAGCUUCUGAGUGUUGGGGUGAACUCCUGGCUGUUAUGUAACUCAGUGUUUUUUCUUCCCUGGCCUGCACAGCUGCAGCACAGAAGGGGAGAGAGGCUGAGCAGACAGAACUGGCCCUUUGGCAUUGGACCCUCAGUCUGCAGGCCAAGGUGCUGGAGGCUAUGGGUCGCGGAGCAGCACCGGAAGCAGGAGAGGCUGGCCCAGGCUGCCCAGUUCUAUAGAGACCAGCUUCUGAGGAAAGGGGUGGCCCACGCAGCUCACAUGGGCAGCUUCUGCACCAACAUAGCACUUCACAGCCAGGAGCAGAGUUCUUCGCGGUGUCUCCAGGGGUGGUGUUGCAGUGGAAACAGACAGCAGUGAGGUUUUAAAAAAUUUAAUAUUAUUU